ensembl:lncRNA
CUUUGGCAGACCAAGGCAAAUGGGGAAAUUGUUGUCUUCUUCAGUGCCUUUCCCAAGGGCUUUUUUUCUUUUUUUUUUUUCUUUCUUUUUUUUUUUUUUUCUUCCUGAUUGGAGUAGAGGCAUUUAACCUUUGUUUUACACCACUGCCAGCUUUUCAUCCAGCACAGAGAGGAAUGGAGGGGGAAGUUUGAGCUUCAACAGUGAGGAAAAAGGAGCACCUGCGGGAGUCAUGAAUGGGCAAGUACACCAAGCCUGGAGAGCAGAACCUGAUGUGGCAUGACUUGACUGUCCUGUAAAGGAUUAGACUUCCCUGAGCCUCAGAGCUGAGAAGCAAAUUCUGAAAUUGAAUGUGGCAAAAACAACAAGAAGAUUUUUCAUUCAUUCAUGGAAUCAUUCAACAGAUACAGCACACGAGAUGGCCUGAAGCAAAGAAGAAUGGACAAUGAGAUACAGCCGCUCUGAGACAGAAUUUGUCAGCAAGAUAUAAAAUGAGAAAGCUAGAAAAUUGGUCCAAUUUCUAAAGUAUUUUCCUAAACCCCUAGGCAAAAAUCAUUAAGGAAAAAAAAAAAAACAAGAGAGCCAUUUCUUCAUGCUUCUAAUCCAGUCAGUUUUUAUUAGAAAAAGUUAUAUCCUUGGGAGAAGGUCACAUCUGAAUCUGGAUUCAGACUUCACUUGGAUUAAUAUCAGAUGUGCACAUAUAUUACUUAAAUAUGGCCUAAUAAAGUAGGGCAGAGGAAAAUGUUGUUAACAAUACAAUAAAUCAAAUAAUGCACAAUUACCUGGGCAUAAGUGAAGAAUUAUCUGAACUUGUAGUAUAACAAUACACCUACCAGUACAAAAAAAAGAAUACAUAAAUAAAACCAAACAAAUUGAACAUCUGCAGAAGUUGGAAUAAAUAGGCACUUAAUCUUUUUUCUCUGGAUAGCAGUGGUUUCCAGAUAAAGCAUUACAUGCAAAUAAAUAUUUUAUAUUUUUUUCAUAUGGUGUCACAUUGUCCAGUGAUUGCUAUGGUGACAGAAAAAUCAAUGUCACAAAUACUGAACUCUUAAGAAUAAAGAGCAGAAGUUGUUAUAACUUUUUUUUUUCUGUUUUUUGUUUUGUUGGAUUUUUUACAGCUCAUAACUAAUGUGGUGGAACAAAAAAUAAGUCCCUCACAGCAUCUUUUUCAUUAAAUUCUUCUCUACUGAGCCACACACUCUUAGGGAUUAGUACUGCAGUAUUUGGUAGCUCUUGGCUAUAAAAUUUACUUUUCAUUUAACAUAAUGCAGAAUGGAACUAGCACAGGCAAUACGUGUUUGUUAACCACAAGUUCAGAUGUAUACUGCUAGAAGCAAACAUGCAUGCAGCAAGGGAACAUGGUUAAUCCUAACCCAAGGAAACAUACUUCCUACAUAUAUAUAUAUAUAUUUUUUUUUUUUACUAGACUUAUAUUCAGCAAAACAUUAAGUUGUAUUGACCAGGCUAUAACAACUGGGCAAGGAAAAACAGACAAUGGUGUUUAUUCUCUGGAACUGUUAAAGAGAAGCUUUCUCCCUUUCCACAGCUACUCAGCCAUUCUUUCUCUAGUUACAGCAAGAAGAUAGGAACUACAGCUAAAAAAUACGUAUUUCAUCAAAUUUCUCUAAAGCCUGCUAAUAUUGUGAUUCGCAGUCACUAGUAAGAGGUGAAAAUGCCAGCUAGAGGAUGCCUACAAAAUCUUUAGAGCGCAUUGUCCCUCCGAACUGAGUUAACAGCACAGCCCAAGAUUCACCAGAUCCAGCUGCCAGAGCAUUUUCUUCAGAAUUGCAAGGAUGUGACUGGGUAACAGUCUGUGUUCGCCUUGCUUUGACACAUUUCAAGUAGUCAUGCAAAAUUUGUGAAAGUUUAAAAAGAAAGGCAGAAAAGUUUCAACAUAAAAUUGCUAGAUUCAUCAUUUACCAUAAAGAUGAAUGAAGAUUCCCUCUGAGAGCAUUAAGACUCCAGGAAAGAAAGCGCUGGAGUCUGCCACAGAAUUUAUCAUGAUAGAUGCUGCUGCAAGAAUUUAUCUUGCACUGACAAUAGCUCUGAAUGACAAUGAACAUAACAAACAAGGCCAAUCAGGCAGUGUUGUCAAGCCUGCAGUCCCAGUGGCCCCUCAGAUAUG